AGUCGUGUGGUGAGCACAAAGCGAAUUAUUCUUUCGCCGUUUACUAAAAAAUACUGUGUGCUCUCCACUUUAAGCGUCGUACACUUAUUUUUGGAAGGAUAUUCCUUGUUGAAUACC